UACGUAGGGGUGCAAGCGUUAAUCGGAAUUACUGGGCGUAAAGCGUGCGCAGGCGGUUGUGCAAGACAGAUGUGAAAUCCCCGGGCUCAACCUGGGAAUUGCAUUUGUGACUGCACGGCUAGAGUGUGUCAGAGGGGGGGUAGAAUUCCACGUGUAGCAGUGAAAUGCGUAGAGAUGUGGAGGAAUACCGAUGGCGAAGGCAGCCCCCUGGGAUAACGACUGACGCUCAUGCACGAAAGCGUGGGGAGCAAACAGG
rnacentral:rRNA from 1 species